AUUGAACGCUGGCGGCAGGCUUAACACAUGCAAGUCGAGCGGAGCGGCGGACGGGUGGGUAAUGAUUAGGUAUCUGCCUAUUAGUUGGGGACAACAUAUCGACGGGGAUGCUAAUACCGCAUACUACUAGAUGUGCCUUAGUCGGAUUAGCUAGUUGGUUGGGUAAAGGCGUACCAAGGCGACGAUCGGUAGCGGGUCUGAGAGGAUGAUCCGCCACACCUGGACUGAGGAACCGCCCAGACCCCGACGGGAGGCAGCAGUGGGGAAUAUUGGACAAUGGGGGGAACGCUGAUCCAGCCAAGCCGGGUGUGGGAAGAAGGCAUUAUGGUUGGAAAGCACUUGAAACUAGGAGGCGGUACUCGCAGAAUAAGCACCGGCUAACUCUGUGCCAGCAGCCGCGGUAAUAC
rnacentral:rRNA from 1 species